GCAAAACGCGAAGAACCUUACCUACCCUUGACAUGUCUGGAAGCUUCGAGGGAUUGAAGUGUGCUCGCAAGAGAACUGGAACACAGGUGCUGCAUGGCUGUCGUCAGCUCGUGUCGUGAGAUGUUGGGUUAAGUCCCGCAACGAGCGCAACCCUUGUCAUUAGUUGCUACGAAAGGGCACUCUAAUGAGACUGCCGGUGACAAACCGGAGGAAGGUGGGGAUGACGUCAAGUCCUCAUGGCCCUUAUGGCCAGGGCUUCACACGUAAUACAAUGGUCGGUACAGAGGGUUGCCAACCCGCGAGGGGGAGCUAAUCUCAGAAAGCCGAUCGUAGUCCGGAUUGCAGUCUGCAGCUCGACUGCGUGAAGUCGGAAUCGCUAGUAAUCGUGGAUCAGAAUGUCACGGUGAAUACGUUCCCGGGUCUUGUACACACCG
rnacentral:rRNA from 1 species